UCCCCGUUUGAGGUAGAAACCGGGGGAGUCUGGGAUACACACACGCACCCCGCCGAGAAACCCCGCCGGAUGUGCUAUGAGCACAGUCAUCACCCCCAGGAGUUUCCUCCCGCCCACGGUAUCAUCAUGUUCAUGUGUGUGCGCGAUAAGAACCCUUCACAGGAGAUCUACCCUCUUAGCAAACGUUUGCGUGUACAAUGCAGUAUUGUUAACGCCGGGCGCCGCCGUGGGGGAGUCUAGGGUUUAUCCCAGAGAAGGCUUACAGCUGAGAAACCCCUCGCCUUCUUCUCCAGGUCACCUCCCCCUCCUGCCUCUGCAGGGCCAGCAGGGCAGAGAGACCCCCUCCCCCCAGCGGGGAGGGGAGCAGAGCAUCCCCCGGUGCCCGCCCCCCCCUCCCCCCCCUCCCCUGGGAAGGAGCCGUGUAGUGAAAACCGGGUCACAGCCCGAUCUGUCCCGACACGUCUCCCGCGGGGCGGGCAGACAGACGGGUGACACCUGGUGUGCGUGAGAGCAGCGAGCCGCCGAGCCCGCCGCUGCCCGGCCUGCGUGCCAGGCCCGGGCGCUGACUCACGCCGAGCGAGCGGCAGGUGUGUCCGGUGCUCGGCGUGCAGACCCGGCCAAGAGCAUUUCCUGGUUACCUGGGCAGAGGGAAAGCAACACGGGGUUCCGUGCUCACCUCGAGUGGAGGCCGGGGAGUGUCGAUCCGGGGCCAGGGGGGACCCCCUUUCCUUCAGGGGGGUGGGGGGGACUCAUUUUCACCAAAGAGGGGCGAGGAGAGCCAGCCCGGUGGGUUUGGGGAAGCGGCCGAAGGGGACGGAGUCUGGCCUGGCGGUGAGACUUUGCAGGAGAGGCUUGUGAGAACUCGGGGAGACCAGGAAAGAGGCUCUUGUUCUGUCCCCCCCCCAGCCACCACCACACCGGGACCCCACGCGUCUCCACCUCCCUCCACAUACACCUGUGAGCUCCGGGGGCGCCAGCUUCGAGUGGCCGCCACCGACGGCGGGCGAUGUGUGUUUGGGAGGAGGAAGUUUUGAGGUUACUUAACUCUCAACAAAACAGACUUCUGCUGUCCAGAUAGAGGGUCUCUGUUACGCGAGGGUCUGGUCACCGGGGCUGGGCUUU